GCCCCCUUCGGGGGGCAAGUAGAGUGGCGCACGGGUGAGUAACACGUAGGUAAUCUACCUUUGGAUGGGGAAUAACCACCGGAAACGGUGGCUAAUACCGCAUAAUGCAGCGGCACCUAAUGGUGACAGUUGUUAAAGCGGGGGAUCGUAAGACCUCGCGUCUAAAGAGGAGCCUGCGGCAGAUUAGCUAGUUGGUAAGGUAACGGCUUACCAAGGCGAUGAUCUGUAGCCGGCCUGAGAGGGCGGUCGGCCACACUGACACUGACAUACGGGUCAGACUCCUACGGGAGGCAGCAGUCGGGAAUUUUGGGCAAUGGGCGAAAGCCUGACCCAGCAACGCCGCGUGAAGGAUGAAAUCCCUCGGGAUGUAAACUUCGCAAGAACGGGAAGAAUAAGCCGGUGACAACACCACCGGCGAUGACGGUACUGUUUGUAAGCUCCGGCUAACUCCGUGCCAGCAGCCGCGGUAAUACGGGGGGAGCAAGCGUUGUUCGGAUUUACUGGGCGUAAAGGGCGCGUAGGCGGCCACCGCAAGUCGACUGUGAAAUCUCCGGGCUUAACUCGGAAAGGUCAGCCGAUACUGCGGGGCUAGAGUGCAGAAGGGGCAACUGGAAUUCUCGGUGUAGCGGUGAAAUGCGUAGAUAUCGAGAGGAACACCUGCGGCGAAGGCGGGUUGCUGGGCUGACACUGACGCUGAGGCGCGAAAGCUAGGGGAGCGAACGGGAUUAGAUACCCCGGUAGUCCUAGCCUUAAACGAUGAAUGCUUGGUGUCU
rnacentral:rRNA from 1 species